GUCCCAACGGGCGCGCCGUAGCCGGAGGACAGCCGCGCGUCACGUGACCAGAAGCAGUUAGAUACAGUGUAGCAGCUGCGGAGCGAGAGUAAGAGGAGGAGGAGAUGAUGCUGCAGAUUUUGGCCGACGUAAAAUCCUAACACUGGAGAAGGCACGAAGCAUCUGAAUGUGCAGAUCAUCUCAGGGCAUCUAGGAUAAAAUGGAUCCAUACCGACCUAGACUUCGAAGGCCUGAUAAAGCCUUGUAUGUCCCAAAGGCCAGACGACAUGCAGCAGGUGACGAAAAAGUCAGUAGCGAAAACCCCACUGAACAAACUGGUUCCUCUUCUGAUAAGACCCCAAACCAGUACAGAUACAGGAAUUCUACCGUCCAAGAGUAUGGAGAACAUCAAGAUGGCAAGUUGUCGAGAUCGCCCAUUUUGAAGAAGCAGUCUGAGCACGAAGACCAGAGAACAGACUACACGUUGACAGAAAAGUCUGGAAAUGAUUCAUUAUGUGAAACUCUUAAUAGCCUAAGCAUUAAUGAGAAGAUGUUGCCGGGCUCGGUUGAAAGCCGUUUGUCUGCGUCACACGUUGAUUCCUCUGCUACAGUGACCGAAAUUAAACCCUUUCUUCCCCAUGCCACUUCUGCCAACCAUCGUCAGCGAAAACAGCCCAACUUUAGUAGAAGAAAGUCCGAGGAGACUUGGUCAGAACGAGAUCGAGUCAGAAGGAAAGAACAAAACAAGGGAAAGUUCAAGUUUACGAAAUCAGAAAGUGCUGCCGAAGCUUUACGAAGGAACGAGGGCAUGUCCUCGCCAGGCUUAGCAGGGUUAUCCGGCAGCACAGAGCAGUUAAGAGGCGACGCCGCGUCUGUAUGUAAUCAGGCCAAUUUAGGUUUACCAUCUCAUACCGUAGAUAACAGCUGGGAAUGCAAAGUAGAGAAUAUAGAUGGCACGACUGUACAACAAAGUGCGGUCUUAUUUCCCGGCGCAGAUAGCGCUGAAGUAAUCUUUGUAAGUGACACUACUAAAGACCCAUCUGGACAGCUUACAGUCUUAGAAAGCAGUGCAGAUAACAUGGGUAAUGCACUCGCGUAUGAAAAGCCAGAAGAUAUUACAGAAAGAAAAUUAGAUCCCUCUGCUGUUAUAGCAGAAUGUGUCUUAGAGGAGGAUAACAGAGCCAUUGUCUGCGCCAUUGAGCCCAGCGUCGGAGCUGAUGAUGAACACUGGGCUGAUUUAACUACGUACCCGUCUGAGAGCUCCAAAGCUGGAUUAGAUGGCGCACGUACUUGUGUAUCACCAGUGCAUGGCAAUGAAGCUCAGGUUAGACUUCAAGGUAUUAGCGAGGAGGAGGAUGGAGAACAAGAGGGUGCGGUGGAUGAUGUAUAUAGUUAUGUUGAGUAUACAGAGUUGAGUCUGGUGGGUACGGGUAGCACAACAGACUUUGAAAGCAAUGUAGAACAGCAGAGUACCAAAGAGGCACAAAGUAUGGAGGGUUCAGAACCUGAGGAAGUCAUAGCAGAGCUACCAGAGAUGGUGGCGGAGACUUCAAAGCCUGGACCUGCACUGGAAAAUGCAGAGUUCGCUGCAUUGACAAGCCUGGAAGUUGCAGAUAAGUUGCCCACUGCAGAACUUGUGGAGUCUAUGCCAGCAGGGGUGAAUGCGGAGGCACCAUCAAAACAAGCAGAGCUUUGUCCAAAGGUUAACCAUGUGAAGCCGGGUGUGUGCUCUAACAAAGUGAUUGCCUUGAACUGUUCAGAUGACCUAAGGGAACACAAUUCAUUGACUGGAACAGACUGUGUACUGGAAGGGCAUUCAGACCCUUGUGGGACAUCUUCAUGCAUAGCGGGUGCUACUGAUGAAGAGAGCUGGGAUUCUCUCUUUAAUGACGAUGGAGAGUGUCUUGAUCCUCACCAUAUUAAAGAGCCGACCUUGAAAGAGGACGAGAAUGAGGGCCCGAAGGAGUCCAGAUAUGACUACUAUGGCUACGAGCCUAAAGAGCUGGAGAUAGAUGAUCUGGAACUGUCACAUGUCAUUGAGAUCUAUGACUUCCCUGCAGACUUUAAGACCGAGGAUUUAGUCCGUGCAUUUGCAAGUUACCAGAAGAAAGGUUUUGAUAUCAAGUGGGUAGACGAUACACAUGCUCUUGGAGUGUUCUCCAGUCCUAUCACAGCUCGUGAUGCAUUGUCCAGCAAGAACCCAUUGGUGAAGGUCAGGCCUUUGUCCCAAGCCACCAGAUCAUCUAGGGCUAAAGCCCGCUCCUGUGCUGGCUACAGAAAGAGAUAUUACUAUAUUUACAUAUAUUUACACUCCUUACUAAGUCCAUUCAUUAUUAAUAAAGGACUGAAAUCAAUAAGGACAGGAUUGCAGUUCUUGUAUGCAUUAAUGCUGCAUAAAGGAGGAAUGACCUUGUUGAGACUUUCUGCAGCCCGCUAAAGACCGUCCAGAAACGUCUGCGGUUCUUGCAAGGAGACUGGUGAUUAGUGCCUUGGGAGUGCGAAGUACCCAGAGCAAAGCCGAAAGGGAGGCAGAGCGCAAGAAACUCCAGGAAGCCAGAGCACGAAGGCAUCUUGAAGCAAAACAGCGGGAAGAUGCCUGGGAAGGAAGGUGAAGGCAGCGGUGCCUGAACGCAGCGGGGGGAACGACACGUCUCUGAAACAUGGAGAAGCAGCGAGGACAUUGGCUUGAGAUGACACGCGCCGGUGACCUGUUUUUGAAGUCCCUCUGCUCGGCCGGCAGAGAAUAAAGAGUUUGUCGUACAGAA